rnacentral:rRNA from 1 species
UAAACUAGGGAAUAGAUACCCUAUUAUAAAAAAUUAAUUUUUAAUACUAAAAUAGUAAAUAAUUAUUUAUUGAAACUUAAAUAAUUUGGCGGUAUUUUAGUUCAUUUAGAGGAAUCUGUCUAUUAAUUGAUAAUCCACGAAUAAUCAUAUUUAAUUUAAAAUUUUAUAUAUCGUUGUUAAAAAAAUAUUUUUAAAAAAUAAUAAUAUUUAAAAAUUUAGAAAAAAAAUUAAUUCAGAUCAAGAUGUAGAUCAUAAUUAAAAUUUAAGAUGGAUUACAAUAUAAAAAUAUAAAUGGAAAAUAAUUUGAAAUAAUUAUUAGAAAGUGGAUUUAAAUGUAAUUUUAAAUAAUCCGUGGCAAUGCCCGACGGA